UUUAUUAGUGUGGACUGUGUGUAAGGAAGAGUUUCUGUAAACUCAUGCCAUGCUCUUCCAAUAAGGGCAAGGUCAUGGCUAAGGGCCAACCAACCAGUUAAAUUAGGGAGAGGAGCAAAGGGUUGCUCUCGUGUAAUAUAACAAGGAAUGGAAAAGGGGUGUGGGGGUCGAUGUGGGAUCUAUGACAUCAUAGAACCUCCUCUGCAUGCUCAUGUUUAUUUACCGGAUUUAACCAAAUCCAUCUCUGAAUGAACUACUGCGCAACAUAAGUUGAAUUUAGUACUCUCUCUUUCUCUCACUCACACACAUACAAAAGCUGUGCAGUAGACAUAACUGUGUUCACAGUUAAUGUACAUAUGUUGUGUUUUUACCCAACUACCAGCACAUACUUUGCGACUGUCACAAAUUGAGAUACCGUUAUCUUUUGUAAAUCAUGCGUUAAAGGUAGAGUCAGCGAUAUGACUAGAUGCAGAAAGUAAACAGCAUAGUGGAUCAAUUUCCGGCAUCAACCAAGAGCGCUAAAGCGCGAAGAUCAACUUCUCCGCUGUUUUGGUGCCCUGGCUCAUCUGCUCGUGGCAACAUCAUUUCGCUGAGUUUGCCUUGGAAAGGGGCAAUCAACAGUUGCUAUAUCCAUUUUUGGACACCAUGACUCUUUCCACAUUUUGUUACCCUUUCCUGCUGAGGCUAGAGUCAGUGAGGCCCACCCGGGGCAUGAAGAAGGCAGAGAAGCUGGCAGACUACCAGUGCCAGGCCGGAUACCUGGGCAUCGCCACCACGCUCUCUGCCAUAGACAGAUCGCCCUCCAAUAUGGAACGGACCUCCAGCAGAACGUCAGCAGGAAAGAUGCCCAGGCCUGGCAGUACCAACCACCACCACAGUGCCAGGGCAUCAUAUGCCAUCGCUAUCGCCGCCACACCCCUACCCAGGCAUGCCAGUGCGGCAGCGUCCCGGCAACCUGGUCCUGAGAGCUGUGCUCAGGGAGGAGCACCAUUCCCCAACUCCCCACCUUACCAAGACCUUACCAAUAAGGCAAUUACUUGCCCCUAAACACUGAUCCAAGCAGGUGGUGUAACGCUCGUCGUUGGGAGAGAGAGAGGAGGACCAAGGUGCAACGUGGUGGUAAGUAUUCAGAGUCUCUUUUAUUGAAAACGAAUACUUGCACAAAAACAACUAAACGAAACGAGAACGAAACGAAAACAGUCCUGAAUGGUGAAAUACAAACACAGAACAGAAAAUAAACACCCACGCAACACAGGUGGAAAAAGGCUACCGAAGUAUGAUUCUCAAUCAGAGACAACUAACGACACCUGCCUCUGAUUGAGAACCAUACCAGGCCAACCUCAAAAACCAACAUAGAAAAACCAACAUAGACAACCCACCCAACUCACGCCCUGACCAUACUAAAACAAAGACCUAAAUAAAAGAACUAAGGUCAGAACGUGACAGGUGGUGCCUAUCAAUAUGCUUAGUGAAUAGAGGAAGUACUAUGUAUGCCAUGCUGUAUUUCCACUCUUGUGAAAUUUGUUCAAGUGGAACUUUUCAUCAAUGUUUCUGUUAUUGUUGUGUGUCACACCCUGACCAUAGUUUACUUUGUAUAUUUCUAUGUUUUGGUUGGUCAGGGUGUGAGCUGAGUGGGCAUUCUAUGUUUCAUGUCUAGUUUGUCUAUUUCUAUGUCUGGCCUGAUAUGGUUCUCAAUCAGAGGCAGGUGUUAGUCAUUGUCUCUGAUUGGGAACCAUAUUUAGGUAGCAUGGGUUUCACUGUGUGUUUGUGGGGGAUUGUUCCUGUAUCUGUGUUUUCACCAGAUAGGGCUGUUUUUGUAUUGAUUCGUGUUUUACGUUUGUUGAUUAAACAUGGAUCGCAAUCUACACGCCGCAUUUUGGUCCGACUCUCCUUCACCAAAAGAGAACCGUUA
ensembl:lncRNA